UUGACCUCGGAUCAGGUAGGGAUACCCGCUGAACUUAAGCAUAUCAAUAAGCGGAGGAAAAGAAACCAACAGGGAUUACCUCAGUAACGGCGAGUGAAGCGGUAACAGCUCAAAUUUGAAAGCUGCCAACAGGCCGCGUUGUAAUUUGUAGAAGCUGCUUUGGGUGUCGGCCCGGUCUAAGUUCCUUGGAACAGGACGUCAUAGAGGGUGAGAAUCCCGUAUGUGAUCGGUGCCGUUGCCCGUGUAAAGCGCUUUCGACGAGUCGAGUUGUUUGGGAAUGCAGCUCAAAAUGGGUGGUAAAUUUCAUCUAAAGCUAAAUAUUGGCCAGAGACCGAUAGCGCACAAGUAGAGUGAUCGAAAGAUGAAAAGCACUUUGGAAAGAGAGUUAAACAGUACGUGAAAUUGUUGAAAGGGAAGCGCUUGCAACCAGACUUGCGGGCGGUCGAUCAUCCGAGGUUCUCCCCGGUGCACUCGAUCGUUCUCAGGCCAGCAUCGGUUUCCGGGGUGGGAUAAAGGCGGUGGGAAUGUGGCUCUUCGGAGUGUUAUAGCCCACCGUGCAAUGCCGCCACUGGGGACCGAGGACCGCGCUUCGGCUAGGAUGCUGGCGUAAUGGUUGUAAGCGACCCGUCUUGAAAACGG
rnacentral:rRNA from 1 species